UACGUAGGGUGCAGGCGUUAAUCGGAAUUACUGGGCGUAAAGCGUGCGUAGACGGUUAUUUAAGUCGGGUGUGAAAGCCCCGGGCUCAACCUGGGAAUUGCAUUCGAGACUGAAUAGCUAGGGUACGGUAGAGGGAAGCGGAAUUUCCGGUGUAGCGGUGAAAUGCGUAGAGAUCCGGAGGAACCCCAGAGGCGAAGGCGGCGUCCUGGCUCGCAUCUGACGCUCAGACACGACAGCAUGGGGAGCGAACGGG
rnacentral:rRNA from 1 species